rnacentral:rRNA from 1 species
UACGGAGGGUGCAAGCGUUAUCCGGAUUCACUGGGUUUAAAGGGUGCGUAGGUGGGUCUGUAAGUCAGUGGUGAAAUCUCCAAGCUUAACUUGGAAACUGCCGUUGAUACUAUAGAUCUUGAAUGUUGUGGAGGUGAGCGGAAUAUGUCAUGUAGCGGUGAAAUGCUUAGAUAUGACAUAGAACACCAAUUGCGAAGGCAGCUCACUACACAAAUAUUAACACUGAGGCACGAAAGCGUGGGGAUCAAACAGG